rnacentral:rRNA from 1 species
UACGUAGGGAGCAAGCGUUGUCCGGAAUCAUUGGGCGUAAAGCGCGCGUAGGCGGCCCUGUAAGUCCGUUGUGAAAGUCAAAGGCUCAACCUUUGAAAGCCGAUGGAUACUGCAGGGCUAGAGUCCGGAAGAGGCGAGUGGAAUUCCUGGUGUAGCGGUGGAAUGCGCAGAUAUCAGGAGGAACACCAAUGGCGAAGGCAGCUCGCUGGGACGGUACUGACGCUGAGACGCGAAAGCGUGGGGAGCAAACAGG